GUAAAUCGACCUCAAACAAAUUGCAACAGAAAAUAUUUUAACUGGUAUAGAAAGUAUAUGGAAUAACAUGAAUCAUAUCAAAAGUCUAGCAAAAUCUAAGUUGCGCAACAUAGAAAAAAACGGGUUUUUAUCGCGUUAUUUUUUGUGAUUUUGUUCUGACGACAACGGUCUUCCAUAGGCGAACAAAGCGUUUCCGAUACUCAGAAUAGCGACUGCAUAAUUUGGCGACAACAACAACAAAAUAAGUGUAAACAAAAUAAAUGUCAGUAAAGUACACUGUAAAGUGGGGGUACCGCUUUGAGGUAGUCUUCAUUGAUGUAUGCUUGAUUUUGAAAAUAAAAAAAAAUCCAGUAAACUAUAUGUACACUAAAUGAAUUUCAUCAACACACCAGAGCCAAUGGUUAUGCCCAAUCAUGUGUUCUGAGGACACUGUGAUGUAUACGAGUUAAAGAUGAACUCCUUUCGGAUUGGAUAACGGCUGUUUGAUGAUCAUACAAAGACAGUUAAAGGCAACGAAAAGGAAUGCAAGGGAAUAAAUGCUGCCAGUGAGAAAUAAAAUGACAGUUUAAAAGUUGAAUCGGAAUAAUAUAUUCACAUUGAGUGUAGAAAGAUGUACUGUAACCCACAUUACACUAAAAGAGACACUAAGACAGGAAAAGAAAACACUGAUGCCACCAUUGAGAUCAAUGACUGAUAAGUUUUCACACAAAAAAGAUUGUUUAUAUUGUGGUCAAUCUUUAAUAAGUAAGGGUAAAACAAGGAAGUGUGAUGUUUCGCCAGUUAGGACACUAGAACCUACUGUUUUGAAUAUAUGUAUACAGAGGAAUGACUGUUUGUCUGAUACAGUGAGAGCAAGGAUAGAACAGGUUGUAGAGGAUGCUCUUUACCAUCAAACAUGUUUAUGCUAGUCUAAUUUCAGAACUGGAAAAGAUACAGAAGAAUUUCAGGUGCUACCAUCUAGUGAUAAAAAGUGAAAGAUUGGUCGACCAGAAAUUACAGAAGCGAGUGACGCUUUGUAAAAGUCAUGACAUUCUUGUGCUUAUGCUUAGCGAAGAUAUUUUACCAAAAAAAAUUUGCAAAUAUUUUUUUUUACAUUUUAUGCUCAAAUGUAUCAAAUAUUUGAAAUUGACCUUCCAAAAGGUCAAUGUCACAUCUUUUGACCCAAUUUCAUGAUGUUAUUUAAUGACUCAGAAAAAUAUACAACAGAUGUGCUUGAAAGUAUUCAAGUUAGUAUAAUACUCAAUAUAAUUAUCAUAGAUAAUAUAAAUUUCCUUAAUGUUUUUUUUAUUUUGUAUAAAAUUACCCCACCCACUAGCUGUACAAUGUUAAUAUAAAUAUUUCAAUAUAUGCAUUAAUUAUUGAUGGAAUGUAAAUUAAAUUCAUAAAACGUUGAAACUUGACAUUUUUCACAUGUACGUAAACCAUUAUGUAUUUUCUGUUUAAUAUUAUAUUACAUAGAGCUUUCAAUAAAUGGUUGAUCUACAGC